rnacentral:rRNA from 1 species
GACGAACGCUGGCGGCGUGCUUAACACAUGCAAGUCGAACGGAAAGGCCCUGCUUUUGUGGGGUGCUCGAGUGGCGAACGGGUGAGUAACACGUGAGUAACCUGCCCUUGACUUUGGGAUAACUUCAGGAAACUGGGGCUAAACCGGAUAGGAGCUCCUGCUGCAUGGUGGGGGUUGGAAAGUUUCGGCGGUUGGGGAUGGACUCGCGGCUUAUCAGCUUGUUGGUGGGGUAGUGGCUUACCAAGGCUUUGACGGGUAGCCGGCCUGAGAGGGUGACCGGCCACAUUGGGACUGAGAUACGGCCCAGACUCCUACGGGAGGCAGCAGUGGGGAAUAUUGCACAAUGGGCGGAAGCCUGAUGCAGCAACGCCGCGUGCGGGAUGACGGCCUUCGGGUUGUAAACCGCUUUCGCCUGUGACGAAGCGUGAGUGACGGUAAUGGGUAAAGAAGCACCGGCUAACUACGUG